rnacentral:lncRNA from 1 species
CGGCGCUGGCUGGGGGGAGCGGGGAGCCGGGAUCUCUCAGCUCGGGGCUGAGAAAUGGGGCAGACGGCGGAGCUCUGGGCCUCCCGGGUUCAAGCUGCGGGCUCGGGGGUGGGCGGGAGCCCUGGGGGUCUCCAGGCUCUCCGGACCGCGGCGAGGGCUCCGGGAAGCUCAGAGAGCGGCGCCCGAAGGAUCCCGGGAGGCGGGCGGCCCCCCCCGCCCCCCUCCGGCCUUGGCUCCGCAGCCCGGGCCCUGGGCGGGGCGGCCGCCGGGGGGCUCCUCGGGCGCGGGUCCCUCCCCCUGGCUCAGGCUCAGGAAUCCGUGCGGUCCGGGCGGCUGGGGCGGGGCGGGGGCGGCCGCUUCCUGGGGCCGCUUGUCCAGGGAGCGGAGCCUCGCCAAGCCCACAGGCUCGGAGCAGCCCGGACCCCGGGGGCCGCGGGGGUGGGCUCGGGGUCGCCCCAGCCUCAAGUGAGUGCGGGGAGCGCGGGGGCGGGGGCCGGGACGGGCGGAAACUGCCGACUCAGCGCAAUGGCCGAGGGGCGGGGGGAGGGGAGGGUCGGAAAGUUUGGGGGGGAGAAGAUCAGCCCGGACGCCCCCGCCCCCGCCCUGGCGAGGAGCCCCCGGCCCUGGCGGACCCCAGACUGCGGGGGGAGGGGGGGGGGCCCUCGAGGCCCGGGCUGGGGGCCGCGGUGGGGGAGGGGAGGGCCAGCGGAGCUGACCGCAGGGGUCCUGUGCCUUCAGCUGCCAGGCCGAAGGCGAGGUCCGAGGGCAGAGAUGCCACUGGGGACCAAGGUCAGCCACGCUUCCUUCGGGAUGCUUCCUCUUGUCUCCUUCCUCCGGGGGCAGCUGCUGUUGCUGCUCCUUCUGGGCACCGCGUCUCCCCAGGACCCCGAGGAGCCGGACAGCUACAUGGUGGGACCCCGGAAACUGCCACGGGCCUGGGGGGUGGGGAGAAGCAGCAGGAAAUGGGGGGCGGGGCCGGGGGAAAGAACCCCGGGGUCCUGA